CUUGGUUGAAGUGGAUGCGUAUGGUAAAUCUUGAACAUAAAGAUUCUUCAUGUUUCUUGAAUAAGGUGAGUAUGGAUGAAGAAGAAGAAAAAGAAGAAAAAAUCUCUCGUUGUUACCACCUAGGUUUUACUGGGAUGAUAUUUUACAUGGGCAUCUGAAACACUAUAUUUUUCCUUCCUACAAAUAUGUGUUGUUUAUUAGAUCAAUG
rnacentral:lncRNA from 1 species